AUUGAACGCUGGCGGCAUGCCUUACACAUGCAAGUCGAACGGUAACGGGCCUUCGGGUGCCGACGAGUGGCGAACGGGUGAGUAAUACAUCGGAACGUGCCCGAUCGUGGGGGAUAACGAGGCGAAAGCUUUGCUAAUACCGCAUACGAUCUACGGAUGAAAGCAGGGGACCGCAAGGCCUUGCGCGGACGGAGCGGCCGAUGGCAGAUUAGGUAGUUGGUGGGAUAAAAGCUUACCAAGCCGACGAUCUGUAGCUGGUCUGAGAGGAUGAUCAGCCACAGUGGGAAUGGAAAAGGGCCCAGCCCCCUCGGGGGGGGAGGAGUGGGGAAUUUUGGAAAAUGGGGGGAAGCCUUAUCCAGCCAUGCCGGGUGAAGGAUGAAGGCUUUCGGGUUGUAAACUGCUUUUGUAAGGAACAAAAAGCCUUUUUUUAAAACAGGAGGGUCAUGACGGUACCGUAAGAAAAAGCACCGGCUAACUACGU
rnacentral:rRNA from 1 species